rnacentral:tmRNA from 1 species
AUACAGUUUACUGGUUGAACCGUGCCGCGCUUUCCUUCAUAAUCCGCUCAAGGUUGUAAUUCCGGCAAUCUGGAGGCGUUCUGGACAGGGGUUCGACUCCCCUCAUCUCCACCCAAGCGAUAGGAGGCCCCCCUACUAGCUGGGGGGCGUUUGGGUGGGGAUGUACAGGUUUCGACAGGGCGGGCAAAGGUGCGCAGGCAACCCGAAAGGCGACGGACGUAAUCCGCGCAAAUCCAUAAACGCCAACGAUGAGCGUUUCGCAGUCGCCGCGUGAGGUGAUUGCCGGGGCCGCUGAAGCCUUGUAACCCAAGACAGCUGGUGGGGGCUUCGGCCCCCACCGUCA